CCCUGUAGCAAGUUGCGGACAAGCCGCUGACAACUUGUCAACAAGCUGGGAACAAGCAGUGCGAACACAUCCUGUGGCUGUUGACAAGUUGUUGGAACAGAAUUGCCACAAGUCUGCUGCAGGUUUGUUACAACUUGUGCGUUUUUACGCGUGUACAGCUACUACAGGAUUACUUUAGCUUUUCACUAUUAGAUCUGCAUGAUAAGCCAAUUACUGUGGGCCCUUUUUACCUAACCCACCCUGUCAACUUUCCCUGUGGGAGGAAACCGGAGUACCCGGGGAAAACCCACGGCUUUCGGCAGAGCGUUGACUUUUACUCUUUUCACAUGGGGACUGGGUUCGAGUCGCACUGAGAAG